UCAAAUGUUAGAAAUCUGCUUGGAAGUUAGGAAUUUAAUUAACGUUGUUCUUUUUUCUUUAAUUUUUUUAUUUCUUUCUUCUUCAUCACUUUAUCUUCUUCUUCGUUCUUUUUCAUCUUAUUUUAUUUUGCUAAUCGGAGUCGUGGGGGAAUAUGGGAUUAACGAAAAUUUUGUUGUUAGUCGCUGGUCAGAAGGCUAUCAGGUAAGUAACUGUCAAUGUAAGCGUUUUUGCGGUUUUUUCCGUUUUUGUAACUUGCUUUGAAUUGGGUAUUUUAUGAGUUGCCAGAAUCUCUGAUAAACGAUCAUUUGUUUCCCUAAUAGGCAAGAAUAUUAGCAAUAAGGAAUAGCAACA
rnacentral:lncRNA from 1 species